GACGAACGCUGGCGGCGUGCUUAACACAUGCAAGUGGAGCGACGAACCAGGCUUCGGCCUGGGGCAAAGCCGCGAACGGGUGAGUAACACGUGGGUAACGUGCCCCGAUGACCGGGACAACCCGAGGAAACUCGGGCUAAUACCGGAUGUGCUGCACAGACGUAAGCCUGUGCAACAAAGGAAGCUUCGGCCUCCGCAUCGGGAGCGGCCCGCGGCCCAUUAGCUUGUUGGUGAGGUAACGGCUCACCAAGGCUGCGAUGGGUAGCUGGUCUGAGAGGACGAUCAGCCACACUGGGACUGAGACACGGCCCAGACUCCUACGGGAGGCAGCAGUGGGGAAUCUUGCGCAAUGCGCGAAAGCGUGACGCAGCAACGCCGCGUGAGGGAAGACGGCC
rnacentral:rRNA from 1 species